GAGCCUUUAGCUUAACGGUAAAGUACUUUCUUGUCACGAAAGUUUAUGUCGGUUCAAAUCCGAUAAGGCUCG